UGAGGAAUAUUGGUCAAUGGACGCAAGUCUGAACCAGCCAUGCCGCGUGCAGGAUGACGGCUCUAUGAGUUGUAAACUGCUUUUGUACGAGGGUAAACCCAGAUACGUGUAUCUGGUUGAAAGUAUCGUACGAAUAAGGAUCGGCUAACUCCGUGCCAGCAGCCGCGGUAAUACGGAGGAUCCAAGCGUUAUCCGGAUUUAUUGGGUUUAAAGGGUGCGUAGGCGGCUUUAUAAGUUGGAGGUGAAAUACCGUGGCUCAACCACGGAACUGCCUCCAAUACUGUGGAGCUAGAGAAUAGUUGCUGUGGGCGGAAUGUGUAGUGUAGCGGUGAAAUGCUUAGAUAUUACACAGAACACCGAUUGCGAAGGCAGCUCACAAAGCUAAAUCUGACGCUGAGGCACGAAAGCGUGGGGAGCAAACA
rnacentral:rRNA from 1 species